GAGAACGGACGGUCAAUAUUGCUGCAUCUCCACCACCAUUACCGCCUUCCUGUCAGCACCGCCUCCACCAAAUUAAAAGGCGCACGCUUUUUCCAUAGACCUUUUCCAGUGGUCUCGCGUGCUCCACAUGCACGAUUUGCACAUAAGCCCACUACAUAAACCACGUAAACCGUGCUCCUCCGCCAUCUUCCAAAUUCGUUCCUCCUCUCUCUCUUUCUCUCUCUACCGUUUGUUCUUUGAAGUCUGGUUUGGUCUAGAGAGAGAGAAUGUCGAAGGUAGUAAUGAAGCUUGAGCUAUGGAAUGAAACUGCUCCAUCGCCCAUUAUCACUCCUGUCAAAUUUUGCCACUCUCUUCAGAUUAAGUUGGAGCCGAUCUUGGAGGAGGAAAUCGAAGAGGUUGAGGAUUUGCAAAAAAUCUUUACCGCGCUCCUCAUGAUAUCAGGGAGAGAUUCUUCGGCCGAUUGAGAGAAGCGUUCGGAGAUAUCAUGGUCAGAAUGAAUGAUUUUGGACUCUUUUCUGAUCGGUGUUGAGUUUUGGCAAGAUUCCGGCAUUUCUUUUGUUGAUUGUAAAGUGGUUGGACUUUGAAUUACAGUAACAUUUUGAGAAAUAAUUGUGUGAUUUGAUAUUUGAAUAAUGUUUUCAGAGAGAGAGAUCAGCUCUC
rnacentral:lncRNA from 1 species